UACGUAGGGUGCAAGCGUUGUCCGGAAUUAUUGGGCGUAAAGAGCUCGUAGGCGGUUUGUCGCGUUCGAAUGUGAAAACCCGGGGCUCAACCCCGGGCCUGCAUUCGAAUGACGGGCAGACUAGAGUUCGGUAGGGGAGUCUGGAAUUCCUGGUGUAGCGGUGAAAUGCGCAGAUAUCAAGGAGGAACACCGGUGGCGAAGGCGGGACUCUGGGCCGAUACUGACGCUGAGGAGCGAAAGCGUGGGGAGCAAACAGG
rnacentral:rRNA from 1 species